rnacentral:rRNA from 1 species
CCUACGGGGGACUGCAGUGAGGAAUAUUGGUCAAUGGCCGAGAGGCUGAACCAGCCAAGUCGCGUGAGGGAAGACGGCCCUACGGGUUGUAAACCUCUUUUGUCGGGGAGCAAAGCGAACCACGUGUGGUUCAUUGAGAGUACCCUAAGCAAAAGCAUCGGCUAACUCCGUGCCAGCAGCCGCGGUAAUACGGCGGAUGCGAGCGUUAUCCGGAUUUCUUGGGUUUAAAGGGUGCGCAGGCGGAGGUGAAAGUCAGCGGUAAAAUUGCGGGGCUCAACCCCGUACUGCCGUUGAAUCUGCAUCCCUUAAGUGCGCGAGAAGAGUGCGAAAUGCGUGGUGAAGCGGGUAAAUGCAUAGAAACCACGAAGAACUCCGAUUGCGAAGGCAGCAAACAGGCGCGCAACUAACGCUCAUGCACGAAAGCGUGGGAAUCGACCAGGAUUAGAUACCCCAGUAGUC